rnacentral:rRNA from 1 species
CACGCACCGAGUCGCCCCCAUCCCCCCGCCUCUCUGACGGUGCGUUGGGAGCGGAAAAUGGCCCCCCGUGCCUCCGAGCGCGGCCGGCCCAAAUCGAGGCCCCCGGAGGCCGACGUCACGAUCUGUGGUGGUUGUAAAAGACAUGCCCUAGAAACCGGAUCCCGUGCAUGCCGCGCCGCACCCAGGGAGGCCACAGCGACCCCCAACGGUCCGUCCUGGACGGCACUCACUCU